AUGAGACGACGCGCCGGUGGCGCUGGCACUCCUCCAUUGCCAGACACGCUCUCGGUGUCGCUUCUGCUGCUGCUCCUGCUGGUGGCGACCGAGCUGGGCACCGCGGCCUGCGUCUGCGGAGUUCUUAAGGCGGACGCGGUAGCGGCGGCGACGGCUGCUGCAGCAGCGCGGAAGCGCGGCGGCACGGUGCUUCAGACAGGACCGCCGGCGGCGGCGUGCACCGGCGAGGCGGGAGGAGCGGCGUACGACGAGUCCAAGAGGAUGGUACCCCAGGGCCCCAAUCCGCUGCACAACUAG
rnacentral:rRNA from 1 species